rnacentral:rRNA from 1 species
CUUGCUCCUGGUGGCGAGUGGCGAACGGGUGAGUAAUAUAUCGGAACGUGCCCUAGAGUGGGGGAUAACUAGUCGAUAGAUUAGCUAAUACCGCAUACGAUCUAAGGAUGAAAGUGGGGGAUCGCAAGACCUCAUGCUCGUAGAGCGGCCGAUAUCUGAUUAGCUAGUUGGUGAGGUAAAGGCUCACCAAGGCGACGAUCAGUAGCUGGUCUGAGAGGACGACCAGCCACACUGGAACUGAGACACGGUCCAGACUCCUACGGGAGGCAGCAGUGGGGAAUUUUGGACAAUGGGCGCAAGCCUGAUCCAGCAAUGCCGCGUGAGUGAAGAAGGCCUUCGGGUUGUAAAGCUCUUUUGUCAGGGAAGAAACGGGUGAGGCUAAUAUCCUUGCCUAAUGACGGUACCUGAAGAAUAAGCACCGGCUAACUACGUGCCAGCAGCCGCGGUAAUACGUAGGGUGCAAGCGUUAAUCGGAAUUACUGGGCGUAAAGCGUGCGCAGGCGGUUGUGCAAGACAGAUGUGAAAUCCCCGGGCUCAACCUGGGAAUUGCAUUUGUGACUGCACGGCUAGAGUGUGUCAGAGGGGGGUAGAAUUCCACGUGUAGCAGUGAAAUGCGUAGAUAUGUGGAGGAAUACCGAUGGCGAAGGCAGCCCCCUGGGAUAACACUGACGCUCAUGCACGAAAGCGUGGGGAGCAAACAGGAUUAGAUACCCUGGUAGUCCACGCCCUAAACGAUGUCUACUAGUUGUCGGGUCUUAAUUGACUUGGUAACGCAGCUAACGCGUGAAGUAGACCGCCUGGGGAGUACGGUCGCAAGAUUAAAACUCAAAGGAAUUGACGGGGACCCGCACAAGCGGUGGAUGAUGUGGAUUAAUU